rnacentral:rRNA from 1 species
AUGAACGCUAGCGGCAGGCUUAACACAUGCAAGUCGAGGGGCAGCGCGGGGCGGCAACGUCCUGGCGGCGACCGGCGGAAGGGUGCGUAACGCGUGAGCGACAUGCCCGUUGCCCGGGGACAACCGGUGGAAACGCCGACUAAUCCCCGAUGGGACGGAGGCCCUCAUGGGUCUCUGUUGAAAGUUACGGCGGCGACGGAUUGGCUCGCAUCCGAUUAGCUUGUUGGCGGGGUAACGGCCCACCAAGGCUACGAUCGGUAGGGGUUCUGAGAGGAAGGUCCCCCACAAUGGAACUGAGACACGGUCCAUACUCCUACGGGAGGCAGCAGUGAGGAAUAUUGGUCAAUGGGCGGAAGCCUGAACCAGCCAUGCCGCGUGCGGGAAGGAGGCCCUAUGGGCUGUGAACCGCUUUUGCCUGGGGGCAAUAAGGGCGUCGCGCACGUCCGAUGAGAGUACCAGGGGAAUAAGCAUCGGCUAACUCCGUGCCAGCAGCCGCGGUAAUACGGGGGAUGCGAGCGUUAUCCGGAUUCAUUGGGUUUAAAGGGUGCGUAGGCUGUGCGUCAAGUCAGGGGUGAAAUUCCGGGGCUCAACUCCGGGGCUGCCCUUGAUACUGUCGCGCUGGAGUGCGGAUGCCGCCGGAGGAAUGAGUGGUGUAGCGGUGAAAUGCUUAGAUAUCACUCAGAACACCGAUUGCGAAGGCAUCUGGCGAAUCCGUAACUGACGCUGAGGCACGAAAGCGUGGGGAUAGAACAGGAUUAGAUACCCUGGUAUUCCACGCCGUAAACGAUGAUGGCUAACCGCCGGCGACACACUGUCGGUGGCCAAGCGAAAGCGAUAAGCCAUCCACCUGGGGAGUACGUCGGCAACGAUGAAACUCAAAGGAAUUGACGGGGGCCCGCACAAGCGGUGGAGUAUGUGGUUUAAUUCGACGCAACGCGAAGAACCUUACCAGGGCUUGACAUCCCACUAACGAAGUAGAGAUACAUUAGGUGCCCUUCGGGGAAAGUGGAGACAGGUGGUGCAUGGUUGUCGUCAGCUCGUGUCGUGAGAUGUUGGGUUAAGUCCCGCAACGAGCGCAACCCUUAUCCUUUGUUGCCAGCGGUCCGGCCGGGAACUCAAAGGAGACUGCCAGUGAUAAACUGGAGGAAGGUGGGGAUGACGUCAAAUCAGCACGGCCCUUACGUCCGGGGCGACACACGUGUUACAAUGGCGGCCACAGAGGGAAGCUACCCGGCGACGGGAUGCGGAUCUCGAAAAGCCGUCCCAGUUCGGACUGGAGUCUGCAACCCGACUCCACGAAGUUGGAUUCGCUAGUAAUCGCGCAUCAGCCAUGGCGCGGUGAAUACGUUCCCGGGCCUUGUACACACCGCCCGUCAAGCCAUGGGAGCCGGGGGUACCUGAAGUGCGUAACCGCGAGGAGCGCCCUAGGGUAAAACUGGUGACUGGGGCU